UGGCGGGUAAAUCAGCGUUGAACUGCAAAUGUUUAUGGGAUAAGUCAUCGAUCAUGGCGCUAAGUACGA
rnacentral:rRNA from 1 species